rnacentral:rRNA from 1 species
UACAGAGGUCUCAAGCGUUGUUCGGAAUCACUGGGCGUAAAGGGUGUGUAGGCGGUGUGUCAAGUCAGAUGUGAAAGCCCGAAGCUCAACUUCGGAACCGCAUCCGAUACUGGCACGCUAGAGAAUUGAAGAGGAGUCUAGAAUUCACGGUGUAGCAGUGAAAUGCGUAGAUAUCGUGAGGAAUACCAAUUGCGAAGGCAGGACUCUGGGCAUAUUCUGACGCUGAGGCACGAAGGCUGGGGGAGCAAACGGG